rnacentral:rRNA from 1 species
AGAUUGAACGCUGGCGGCAGGCCUAACACAUGCAAGUCGAGCGGUAGAGAGGUGCUUGCACCUCUUGAGAGCGGCGGACGGGUGAGUAAUGCCUAGGAAUCUGCCUAGUGGUGGGGGAUAACGUUCGGAAACGGACGCUAAUACCGCAUACGUCCUACGGGAGAAAGCGGGGGACCUUCGGGCCUCGCGCCAUUAGAUGAGCCUAGGUCGGAUUAGCUAGUUGGUGAGGUAAUGGCUCACCAAGGCGACGAUCCGUAACUGGUCUGAGAGGAUGAUCAGUCACACUGGAACUGAGACACGGUCCAGACUCCUACGGGAGCAGCAGGUGGGAAUAGUGGGCAAGUGGGACGAAAGCCUGGACUCCGAGCCAUGGCCGCGUGUGUAGAAGAAGGUCGUUCGGAUUAGAAAGCUAAGUUUUAAGGUAGGGAAGGUAAGGGUUUAGUUAACGUUAAGUUACGUUGUAACUAACGUUU